AUGAGUCUAACUGCAAGAAUAAUUUUCUAUGGUUUUUAAAAAAAAAAAAUAGUUGCAAUGAGUCUCUCAAAACCAGAAUGAGAUUCAGGCCCAAAAGAGACCCUCCUUCCAUAUGGUAAAACUGCAAAUUGAGUGUGGUCUGCAUGUCUGAAGUACUCCAUCUUCUUAUCUUUAAUAGAAUGCUUUGAAACAAUAAGCAAACUGGUACUUUUUCUUCUCCUGCUAUGUUGCGUCUUUUUCUGCUCUCUUCAAAACACAAGUUUUGGUCCACUCACAGAUUUUGCCACACUGACCAUAUUUGGCUCGAAAAAGACGACCCAGGUUUGGCAGUCAAACACCAAUGGUAUGUGGGCCUGGAUAUUGAAGGUCAGGCUCAUGGGUCCAUGGAAACAGUACCCUUUGUCUCUUCUUGAGGAGACAGUCUUUCCUUUUUAUCCAAAGCUUCAAGAAUAUUUUUGAUUGGCCUGGGUUAGUGUAAAAGGCCAAGCUUCUCAGCCUCUCGGGGAUGUGUUGUGGGUUCUAUCUUAUUGCACUUAAUGUGUUUGAUUAUAUGCUUGAAAGAUUCAGCCUUUUGAAUUCAACAUUUCCAUCGCUAUCAAGUGUGUGAUCCAAAGUGUUCGUGCAGAGAUUUUAUGGAUGAAAUGAUCUAAAGUACAUGGAAUAACCAGAAGAAAAAAAGAAAGACUUGCUAUAUCUUUGGUAUCAUCCAGUGACUUUUCAGAAUAUCUCUGUUUUCAGAAACAGAGUUUUACAUAUCUUCUCUGUUUCCCAAGCAGAGGUAGUUGUGUUUUUAUUACCUGCAAACCAUUUUCAAAGCAAUGGAACAUGAAGACCGUAAGUCUCCAAAGAGGCCAGAAAUUAGAGUUCCUCCUCGGAGGGGUCAAAUUAAGGCCAGGAUUUUCAGAGAGUUGGCAAACAAGGUGAAGAAUGCAGCAUCAGUGGCUGGACUGGUAAAGAAGAAGGGAGGUUCCAAUGAAAUCUCAACCUCAACAACCCCUCCUUGUAGCAAUGACACUUCUCAUGGGCAUUCAGAGUAAUGACUCAUGACCCAGAUGAGAUAAACACAGACCCAAUAAAAGAUUUUAGCUUGACUUAAUUUAUUCACAGAUAUACUUCUUUGUGUCCAUCCAGUUGCUUUGCUUACUUCUUAGACUCAGUCAAGCAGGGAAAGCAGUACUUGACAUAUAAUUCUUCUGGAUUACUGUUGUUGUGUUCUUCUGUCAAAAGGUGGAAAUUUGAGGGUUGCAAGAUAGGAUGGUGAGACUGAGAAGAUGGUCAGAUUCUUCUUUAUAUGCAAUUGAAGGCAAAGAGGGUAUUGUGCUGGUUAUAGAUGGUGUUUUAGCUACAUAUGGGUCAGGAGUUUCUGUCUUGAGCCAUUGAAUUCUGGGUCUUGCAGCUGGGCUUCAAGCUGCUUCUUUUUUUUUUUUUUUUUUGUGUGUCUUUUUGGCUAAAGUAUACAUGUACUGUUGUCAGUUUCCAUUUCUUGUCCAUUUUUCACAUAUGGACAUGUUAGUGGGGUUAGGGUGAAACUUCUGAUUCUUGCCUUACAUGUUGUCUUGUAGUGGAUAAUCCAAUAAAAUUUUGCUUUUUUCAUUUCAAAUCUUCCUGUAUUUGAGUUCCAUGUGAUUUUCUUAGUUUCUUUAAGCUUGAUGGUUCAUGCCUAGUUUUUUUAAGCUUGAUGGUUCAUGCCAACAACUAAGAAUAGUUUAUAGGUUACCAAACUCUUCACUGGACAUAAACUCAGAGUCUUGGUAUAUUGUAGGCACACCAUCCCACAGAUCUUUCUUUCUACUGGCUAAGUGACAGAAUUAUUAAAAGAAAAGCCUAAAAAGACUAAUUAAUGUGGGUUGUGUUGAACUCUUGAAAAAGGUCUACUUGUUCAAAGCAACAGCAUACAGAUCCUCCCACCACUCGCUUGCCCUUUUUGUACUGUUCUUGUUGCUGCUGCUAUUAUAAUGACUUCUGAUGUUGCUUGCCAACUUUGCAGAUUCCAUAUGGUAGUGUAUGGGU